CCUACGGGGGGCAGCAGUGAGGAAUAUUGGUCAAUGGACGAGAGUCUGAACCAGCCAAGUAGCGUGAAGGAUGACUGCACUAUGGGUUGUAAACUUCUUUUAUAUGGGAAUAAAAUGUUCCACGUGUGGGAUUUUGUAUGUACCAUAUGAAUAAGGAUCGGCUAACUCCGUGCCAGCAGCCGCGGUAAUACGGAGGAUCCGAGCGUUAUCCGGAUUUAUUGGGUUUAAAGGGGGCGUAGGUGGUUUGUUAAGUCCGGUGUGAAAGUUUGGGGGCCAACCGCAACAUUGCAGUUGAAACUGGCAGUCUUGAGUACAGUAGAGGUGAGCGGAAUUCGUGGUGUAGCGGUGAAAUGCUUAGAUAUCACGAAGAACUCCGAUUGCGAAGGCAGUUCACUGGACUGCAACUGACACUGAGGCUCGAAAGUGUGGGUAUCAAACAGGAUUAGAUACCCGAGUAGUC
rnacentral:rRNA from 1 species